rnacentral:rRNA from 1 species
GAGUUGCUAGUAAUCGCGAAUCAGCAUGUCGCGGUGAAUACGUUCCCGGGCCUUGUACACACCGCCCGUCACACCAUGAGAGUUGGCAAUACCCAACGUACGUGAUCUAACCCGCAAGGGAGGAAGCGUCCUAAGGUAGGGUCAGCGAUUGGGGUGAAGUCGUAACAAGGUAAC